UAGCUACACAUGCAGUCGAACGGCAGCACAGGAGAGCUUGCUCUCUGGGUGGCGAGUGGCGGACGGGUGAGGAAUACAUCGGAAUCUACUUUUUCGUGGGGGAUAACGUAGGGAAACUUACGCUAAUACCGCAUACGACCUACGGGUGAAAGCAGGGGAUCUUCGGACCUUGCGCGAUUGAAUGAGCCGAUGUCGGAUUAGCUAGUUGGCGGGGUAAAGGCCCACCAAGGCGACGAUCCGUAGCUGGUCUGAGAGGAUGAUCAGCCACACUGGAACUGAGACACGGUCCAGACUCCUACGGGAGGCAGCAGUGGGGAAUAUUGGACAAUGGGCGCAAGCCUGAUCCAGCCAUACCGCGUGGGUGAAGAAGGCCUUCGGGUUGUAAAGCCCUUUUGUUGGGAAAGAAAUCCAGCUGGUUAAUACCCGGUUGGGAUGACGGUACCCAAAGAAUAAGCACCGGCUAACUUCGUGCCAGCAGCCGCGGUAAUACGAAGGGUGCAAGCGUUACUCCGAAUUACUGGGCGU
rnacentral:rRNA from 14 species